rnacentral:rRNA from 1 species
UACGAAGGGUGCAAGCGUUACUCGGAAUUACUGGGCGUAAAGCGUGCGUAGGCGGUUUGUUAAGUCUGUCGUGAAAGCCCUGGGCUCAACCUGGGAAUUGCGAUGGAUACUGGCAAGCUAGAGUACGGUAGAGGAUGGUGGAAUUCCCGGUGUAGCGGUGAAAUGCGCAGAGAUCGGGAGGAACACCAAUGGCGAAAGCAGGUACCUGGACUAUUACUGACGCUAAGCUGCGAAAGCUAGGGGAGCAAACAGG